GGGACUACGAGCGUGUGCUUAAAACUCAAAGAACUUGGCGGCUUGUUAACUACCUAGGGGAAUAUGCGCCUUUAUCCGAUGUUACGCGAAUAUCUUACUAGACUUAGAAUAGCAGUUGGUGUAUUGCCGUUGUCAGCUUGUUGUUGAGCAAAGAGAAACAGGCUAAAGGGAGUGUUAUCCAUGAAUUCAGGUCGAAAUGCCGCCUAUAGUCUAGGGAGCGGGUAUUACAAUUGAAACUUUCAAUACGGAUUGGUGUUGGAAAAUCACCAUGAAGGUGAACUUAGGAGUAAAGAGAAAUUAAUAUGUUUUCUUGAACGUGAAUCUAGCUUGUGUACAAACUGCCCGUCGCUCUCGGUGAGAAUUGAGAUAAGUCGUAACAGGG
rnacentral:rRNA from 1 species